rnacentral:rRNA from 1 species
CCUUAGUAACUGCGAGUGAAGCGGCAAAAGCUCAAAUUUGAAAUCGGGGUCCUUUGCGGGCUUCGAGUUGUAAUUUGGAGGGAUAACUUCGGUACGGACUACAUCGUAAGUUCCUUGGAACAGGACGUCAUAGAGGGUGAGAAUCCCGUGUCUUGGUGCCUGGCCGUGCCAUGUGAAGUGUCUCCGACGAGUCGAGUUGUUUGGGAAUGCAGCUCAAAAUGGGUGGUAAAUUUCAUCUAAAGCUAAAUAUUGGCGAGAGACCGAUAGCGCACAAGUAGAGUGAUCGAAAGAUGAAAAGCACUUUGAAAAGAGAGUUAAAAAGUACGUGAAAUUGUUGAAAGGGAAGCGCUUGCGACCAGACUCGAUCUUUGGUGAUCAGCCGGGCUUCUGUCCGGUGCCCUUGCCAUUGAUUGGGCCAGCAUCGGUUCCGACGGUGGGAUAAAAGGAGGAGGAAUGUGGCUCCCUUCGGGGAGUGUUAUAGCCUCCUUCACAAUGCCACCAGUUGGGACCGAGGACCGCGCUUCGGCUAGGAUGCUGGCGUAAUGGUCUUAAGCGACCCGUCUUGAAACACGGACCAAGGAGUCUAACAUCUAUGCGAGUGUUCGGGUGGAAAACCCUUGCGCGUAAUGAAAGUGAACGGAGGUGUGAACCCUUUACCGGGUGCAACAUCGACCGGUCCUGAUGUCUUCGGAAGGAUCUGAGUAAGAGCAUAGCUGUUGGGACCCGAAAGAUGGUGAACUAUGCCUGAAUAGGGUGAAGCCAGAGGAAACUCUGGUGGAGGCUCGCAGCGGUUCUGACGUGCAA